AUACGUAGGUGGCGAGCGUUGUCCGGAAUUACUGGGUGUAAAGGGCGUGUAGGCGGGAAGUCAAGUCAGAUGUGAAAGCCCAGGGCUCAACCCUGGAUCUGCAUCUGAAACUGAUUUUCUUGAGUGCUGGAGAGGAAAGCGGUAUUCCUAGUGUAGCGGUGAAAUGCGUAGAUAUUAGGAGGAACACCAGUGGCGAAGGCGGCUUUCUGGACAGUAACUGACGCUGAGGCGCGAAAGCGUGGGGAGCAAACAGGAUUAGAUACCCUGGUAGUCCACGCUGUAAACGAUGGAUACUAGGUGUAGGAGGUAUCGACCCCUUCUGUGCCGCAGUUAACGCAAUAAGUAUCCCACCUGGGGAGUACGGCCGCAAGGUUGAA
rnacentral:rRNA from 1 species